rnacentral:rRNA from 11 species
CCUUAAAGGUUUUCUUCACUAAAGGCACCGGAUCUCAUUUGCUAUUGGAAGUUAAGCAGGGGCAGCCCUGGUUAGUGCUUGGGUGGGAAACUGCCAAUUAAUACCAGCUUCUGUAGCCU